CUCUGGUUCUCUCGCAAUGAUAGCUUGGAAACCCGGUCAGGCCCGGAAGGGAGCAGCCGUACUAAGGGACUCAUGUGCCGGGAUGUGGCUGGAGUUU
rnacentral:SRP_RNA from 1 species